rnacentral:lncRNA from 1 species
AGGCAGCCUUGGAGAAUUUCAGGGGGAGGAAGUGUCCCACAUUUGCAAACUUCCCAUUAUGGAGCAAGACCUUCAAGGAGGCCAUAGGGUAAGAAAUAAAGGUGCCUUCCUUCCCCUCCUUUUCCUUGGGCCACUGAAGAUAGAAAGUGAGGAAACGUCCCCUUGCCUUGGAGCCCCUAUCUCAGGGUUCAAUGCUCAGCUGACACCAUAUAAUGAGCUCAUCCUGGGUGCUGCUUCUCCCCUCGUGUACUCCUGACCACUUACCACCAUGACUCAACUUCCAGGGACCAACAGCAGCUCUGUCCUGCCUGGUCAGCAAAGCACAAGCCUGAGUUUCCAU